AUUCUGACACCCUGUUGGUUUGUACAUGAUCCAUCACACCUGCACAUGACACAAAUCACGUCACACUCCAGCAAGGACAUAAGUAGUGCACUAUAGGCCCCUGUGGUGUGGCCUAAGCUUUUGUCCUAAUGGCAUUUUUUGCCCUUACACUUACUUUUAUACUUGAAGUAGUUUAGAAACCUGUACUUUUACACUUUUACUUGAGUAAAAAACUUGAGUUGAUCCUUCAACUUCUACAGAAGUCUUUUUAAACCCUAGUAUCUAUACUUCUACCUGACUAAUGAUUGUGAAUAUUUUUGACACCUCUGCAUAAAAUCUAAUAAUAAG